AGUGAACGCUGGCGGUAGGCCUAACACAUGCAAGUCGAACGGCAGCACAGUAAGAGCUUGCUCUUACGGGUGGCGAGUGGCGGACGGGUGAGGAAUACAUCGGAAUCUACUUUUUCGUGGGGGAUAACGUAGGGAAACUUACGCUAAUACCGCAUACGACCUACGGGUGAAAGCAGGGGAUCUUCGGACCUUGCGCGAUUGAAUGAGCCGAUGUCGGAUUAGCUAGUUGGCGGGGUAAAGGCCCACCAAGGCGACGAUCCGUAGCUGGUCUGAGAGGAUGAUCAGCCACACUGGAACUGAGACACGGUCCCAGCUCCUACGGGAGGCAGCAGUGGGGAAUAUUGGACAAUGGGCGCAAGCCUGAUCCAGCCAUACCGCGUGGGUGAAGAAGGCCUUCGGGUUGUAAAGCCCUUUUGUUGGGAAAGAAAAGCAGCAGGUUAAUACCCCGCUGUUCUGACGGUACCCAAAGAAUAAGCACCGGCUAACUUCGUG
rnacentral:rRNA from 1 species